GGGAACCUGUCUCCCGGCCUGGGGUGCAGUGCUGCAUCUCUGGUCAGCUGGGAGUCUGAGAUGAAGCACUGUAGCUCAGGAAGGGGGAAGCUGCUCUCCGGG
rnacentral:pre_miRNA from 10 species